CCUACGGGAGGCUGCAGUGAGGAAUAUUGGUCAAUGGCCGCAAGCCUGAACCAGCCAAGUCGCGUGAGGGAUGAAGGUCCUAUGGAUUGUAAACUUCUUUUGUCAGGGAACAAAGGUAUCCACGUGUGGAUGUUUGCAUGUACCCUAUGAAAAAGCAUCGGCUAACUCCGUGCCAGCAGCCGCGGUAAUACGGAGGAUGCGAGCGUUAUCCGGAUUUAUUGGGGUUAAAGGGUGCGUAGGCUGGAUUUUAAGUCAGCGGUGAAAGUUUGGGGCUCAACCAUAGAAGUGCCGUUGAAACUGGAGGACUUGAGUGUGUGAGAGGUAGGCGGAAUGCGUGGUGUAGCGGUGAAAUGCAUAGAUAUCACGCAGAACUCCGAUUGCGAAGGCAGCUUACUGGGGCACAACUGACGCUGAAGCACGAAAGCGUGGGGAUCGAACAGGAUUAGAUACCCUUGUAGUC
rnacentral:rRNA from 1 species